rnacentral:rRNA from 1 species
AUAAGCCAUGCAUGUAUAAGUAUAAACGCUUUAAGCGUGAAACCGCGAACGGCUCAUUACAACAGCUAUAAUUUACUUGAUCUUGACAAACUUACAUGGAUAACUGAGGUAAUUCUUGAGCUAAUACAUGCACCAAAGCUUUGACCGUAAGGGAAGAGCGCAUUUAUUAGAACAAAACCAAACGGCUUCGGCUGUUCCCAGUUGAAUCAGAAUAACUCAGCUGAUCGUACGGUCUUGCACCGACGACGUGUCUUUCAAGUAUCUGCUUUAUCAACUUUCGAUGGUAGGGUAUCUGCCUACCAUGGUGGUGACGGAUAACGGAGGAUCAGGGUUCGACUCCGGAGAAGGGGCCUGAGAAAUGGCCACUACGUCUAAGGAUGGCAGCAGGCGCGCAAAUUACCCACUCUCAGAAUUUGGAGGAGGUAGUGACGAGAAAUAACGAGGUUGAUCUCUUCUGAGGCCAACCAUCGGAAUGGGUACAAUUUAAACCCUUUAACGAGUAUCUAUGAGAGGGCAAGUCUGGUGCCAGCAGCCGCGGUAAUUCCAGCUCUCAAAAUGCAUAGAAUUAUUGCUGCGGUUAAAAAGCUCGUAGUUGGAUCUGCAGCCGGAGCUCCGGUCCAUCUUCGGAUGUGUACUGGAUGUCUCCGGCUUUCUGACAGUGUUCGGCUCUGUGCCUCUAACCAGGUGUGGAUGUCCGAUACUGUAAGUUUACUUUGAAUAAAUCAGAGUGCUCUAAACAGGCGUUUUGCUUGAAUGAUUGUGCAUGGAAUAAUAGAAGAGGAUUUCGGUUCUAUUUUAUUGGUUUUAUAGACUGAGAUAAUGGUUAACAGAGACAAACGGGGGC